CACGUAGGGGGCAAGCGUUGUCCGGAUUUAUUGGGCGUAAAGAGCUCGUAGGCGGUUUGUCGCGUCUGCCGUGAAAGUCCGGGGCUCAACUCCGGAUCUGCGGUGGGUACGGGCAGACUAGAGUGAUGUAGGGGAGACUGGAAUUCCUGGUGUAGCGGUGAAAUGCGCAGAUAUCAGGAGGAACACCGAUGGCGAAGGCAGGUCUCUGGGCAUGACCUGACGCUGAGGAGCGAAAGUGUGGGGAGCGAACAGG
rnacentral:rRNA from 1 species